UAAAAUAUAGUCACACUAGUAAUGAUUAUGUCAAAGAUACAUUAACAUUCUUAGUCAAAGGUUAUAUCAAACCAUCACUAAUUUUUAGGAUAUUCAUGACUUUAGAAUGGACGGACAUAUCUUCCUCUUGAUUAAUAUACAAACAAAUAUCACGAGAACAAAAUCUACUAAUAAUAAAUGUUUUAUUUACAAUUUUUGAACUGCGGUACAGGUAUUUCCUUCUCUUUUUAAUCCACCCAACUGUUAUAAUUUUCAAAAUGAUUAAAUUGUUACGUCGUGAGUGAAUUUGAACUAGUCAAAAAAAAAGUUAUACAAAUAUCUUUGAAAAGUAAUUGGACAUUAUAUUUUCAAGAUACUAUGCAACAACCUUACAGAAUUACCAUAUACACUAGUCAAAUUUUAAUAAUUUUCUAGGUAUUUAUUAAGUUUUUGCACGAUUUGACUGUAUUUUAAGAGAAUACUACUCCAUGUCUUAAGUAGAAAUGAUAAUGCAAAUCUAUGAUGUUGAUUGCUAUUGUCGAAUAAAAGAGUAUAAAAAUGAUUACCCCAUCUUAAUGGCCUUAAAAGGCCAAGAGUCACGCUUGUUGCACUCUUUUAAACCUUUACUUUUUCACUUUUUGUUUUGUUUAUAAUCUUACGAAACUUUUUUUAAGCAUUACUUAUCAAGUUAACUAAUGAAAGCCAAAUAAAACGGUUGCAUUGAAUUCAAACUUCUUUUGUGAGAAAAGAAAGUAAUGAAUUCAAACCUCUUUCAGAUUUUCUGUUCUAACGCAUGAGUCGACCGCAUGAAUUUUGUCGUUGAACUACUUAAUGACCAAAACAGUACUCUAGACUACGAAAUAAAAUAAUGGUAAGCCUUAUUGAUAAAUAUAAUGAUGUUGGUGAUGAUGAGAGAGUCAUCAUAUGCCAUAAAUGUUUGUCUAUGUGGUAGUCAUGAUCUUAAUUAAUUAAAAACAAGUAUUUGUGGUUGAAAUCCAAGAAAUUAUUUAUCAAAAUAUGCAGAUAAAAUAAUCUAUUUAUAUUUGAAAAUUACUUUUAAACUAUUUUACAAAUAUAAUACUAACUAUUUACUUUUAGUAAUUUUUUAUUUAUGCUUAUUUUUGUUUUAAUUUAUAUAACAACGUCACUUUCAUGUUUAUAUCAAAAUCUAUGUCAUCAACUCAUUUUAUAAAAAGUAACGGAUUAACUAAAAAUAUAAAAUGUUAAGAUUUUAAAUACAAACGAAAAUUAAAAUAAUUUUUCAAUACAUAUUGUAUUGAAAACUGAAAUAUUUUAUUUUAAAUGUAGCAAUUUAUUAUAACAUUAAUAUUAAACGUGGUCUCAAAUCUCAAAUCAAAUUUUACUAUUGCACUGUAUAUUGACCAUGGUUAGACGCCGUAAUGAAAAAUCAUUUUAAAAUGAAGUUGUUACUUGUGAAAUUAUACAAGUAUUUAAAAUCUUUUUAACAAUUUUAUAAUGGCACAGUUAUAUUUUGUUAUCAUAGUCAUAGAGGUCGACUAAUCAACGUCAAAAUAGGUUCCCUUAAUUAGUUGCACCAAGAUUUUUCUUCCCUUAAAAUCCUUAAAGGUAAAUCAAUUCAGCAUUAACAGUGAGGGUCCCAAUGACAAGCUAAAAGAAGAGAUGGAUCAUAAAAACUGAAAAAGAAUUGGACGGUCACGAUUGGACACCGAGAAAUAAAAGUCGAGAAGAAAUCAUACGGUUCAGAAACGUUUUCAAUGUUGGCCCCCACUUAAUCCAGCUAUAUGCUAUGACAACCAUCAAAUAUGAAUUGGAUCGAUAUGAUUGGAAUCAGACACACAUAUCUUUUCGUCGAUAUGAUUUUCAUAAUCAAUGUGGGUCCAUUUCAUAGUCGUUUUUUGUAUGUGCAACUACAAUGGUCACAUACGAGCCAGAUUUUGAAAAGAAGCUUCAAUUUUUUAAAAAAAUUCUUGGGAAAGAUGUGUGUUUAAGUAAAUAAACGUUUUUUUCUUGUUUGAGAAAAAUAACAUUAAAAAUAACGAAAAUAACAUUUUCGUUUAGUGUUAAAUAAAGAUUUUAAAAUUAGCCUUUAUUAUUACUAAUAAAUACGGAAUAAAAUUUUGUUUACGUGGAGGACAAAAAAAUUGUAUUUUUGGCAUGAGAGACAGAAAUAAAACUUGUUUGCCAUAUUUUUAUUUCAAAUUUUUUAUUAAUUAGGUUUUUUUGCUCGUAGCAAAACUGAUUUUAAUAUUUGAAAAAAUCUAUUUGAAUUUUGAAUGUUUCGGUUAAAGUUUUGGACCAAAGAUAUGAAUUUGUUACACCUACAUAUUCAAUUUACUAUGGAUACACGGUGAAUGGACAAAUCUUUAUUAUAUCGAUUUCCUAGCGAUCUAAAUUUGCGAAUAUUUUCACCAACAAAUUGUUCACCUCUUAAAUAAAUUUAAUGAUUCGACAAAAUCUGCAUAUUUGAUGCUCAAUUAAAUUUUUUUGAAGACAACCACCACAGAAGUGUGUGGUUUAGAUAAGAUCUUGUAUUUGAUAAACACAUAAUUGUGGCAUGUUUAGGAUUCUGUUUUUGUGAACACAAAUUGUUUUAGGUAUCAAUAUUUGAUUUUAGAUCUAUUUAUUUCCUUGUUGAUGUUAAUUUCCAUCGACAAGAUGGAUGAUUCUACAUUCUGAAGGCCAAUAAUCAUUCAACAAAAUAAUGUUUGCCCCAUAAAAACAUGAUGGCUUUUUAUAGGCUAUCCAUUACAUAAACAAAAAAAAUGAUGACAAAUUUGACAAUGCCAUUGUAUGAUAACAUUUGUAAUAAUAUGACAAUGAAUUGUAAGAUACAUUUUCAAUAACAUUAUAAUAAGAUACAUUAUAAUAAGUACAUAUUUGCUUCUCAAAUUAAACCCAAAUUAUUUUUAUAUUUAACAAUAGGUAGAUAUACUUUCCACUUUUGAAAAAAUGUUGCGGCUUAUAUUUAAAAAUAAAUCUAAAGAUUGACCGCAUAUUUGUGCGGAUGUUGAAUUUUUUUUUAUAAAUUGAUAUUUAUUUUUCAUAACUAGUAUUAUAUAUUUUAUAUGUGUCACCAUAUAACUAAUCGCAUAUUCGUUAUUUGAAUAAUUUUAGAUACAUCAUAAUCGAACGCGAAUCGAACCGAAUAAUAUGAUUACUUUUGGUUACUUUUAUUUUUAAUACAAAAUAACCGAAUCCAUUUUGAAUACAUUGGUUAUUUGAAGAAAAAAUCUAAAUGCUUAUACAUCAGAACCGAAUCCAACCGGACUUGAGAAGGUCCGACUCGAAACCCAUCAAAAAAAUUUAUAAUACCCUAAAGGAGCCUAAUUUCAAUACUCAAAACUAGAUAUCCGGAAUAUGACUUGUACCGAAGCAUAUAUCCAAAUACCCAUGCAUAACCAAUUCUGUAAGAGAUUAUUUAAAAGAAUAACAAAUAUUUCUAAACCGUUUUGAAUUUUUGUCACAAAAUAGAGCAAUUUCAUUCGGACAUGUCAAAUUAUUAUGGUUAAAAUGAAAAAUGUAAGACCCGAUCCCGGACACUCGUCCGACUUGGACCUCACACGACCGAGCCAUAGGCGACCGGUCCGGUUUGAUUCAUUUUAAGUUCUUAUCCAGUUUAAGUUUAAUGUCCAAGUAAGGUUCUAACCAGGGAUUCUCUAACUGAUAAAUCAAUACUCUGAAGCAACAAAAAGUCUUAAGUCCGCUCUGUAAGGUUUAAUGUCCAAGUAAGGUUCUCCAUUUGUUGAGGCAUACAAUAAUAGAUUCUGGAUGUGUUAAUUCUAGAAGUAUCUUAAAAAAAAUUAUACCAGUAAAAAGGCUAGUUAAUAAAAUCAGGUUUUAAGAUUUCUACAAAUAUGGAUCUAAAAAAUUGUAAAUUUAUUCAUACCUAAUUAAUCAAUAUACAAAUAAUAAACGAGUAUUUGCUUCAAUUCGCUAAUUUUACUCUUUAAUUUAUUUGCUUUCUUCAAGUUAGUUCUCGUUCGUUCAUAGCAGAAUGAUGCUAACUAUUCAUUUCAAGGUUGUUCAUGCAUUCCCAUAUAAUGAUCACUCUCAUAGCUACAUGGACAUGGUCGUACACUCAAAUUUUCUAUUCCAAAGAUAGUUGAAAGCAAUUAUUAAUAUAGUUAUAUGUUAAUUCAAGAAAUGUAUUAAAUCUCUACGUACCAAUAUACUCGAUUUGCUGAGGCGAAUAAUAAUAGAGUUUGGAUGUGUUAAUCCUAGAAUUGUCUUAAAUCUCUGUGUAUUAGUAAUAAAAAAAGACGGAUUUUGAAACUGCCAUAAAUCUGAGUCUAAAAUAUUAUAAAUUUAUAUAUUCACAUAAUCAAUAUACAAACCCUAAAUGUAUAUUUGUUUCAAUUUGUUUUGCUCUUAAGUUUGUUUGAUUUAUUCAUGUUAGUUUCAUUCAUAAGAAAAUGAUGUUAUCUACUCAUUUCAAGGUUGCUCAGACAUUCCUGUUUAGCGGCCACUCCCAUAGCUACAUACAUGGACAUGGACGUACUCAAAUUUUCUCUUCCAAGAGUGAUUGAAAGCAGUUGUCAACUCGUGUUUGAACCGAUGUGGUACGAUUCAAAGAGUGCGAACCUCAUUUCUCUCUUGUAAUAUGAAGGGCCGACGAGAUUUCCUCAAACUAUCAUAUAGCAUCAGAUGUCUCCCAAACUACGAUCUCGUUCUAUUUAUCCCUGAAUAUAAAGUUUCAAUCUUUGUUAAAUUUUCAUACUUAUAUCCCCACGUAUAUAAAGUUCGAAAUCAAAGUGCCCAUAGAAGAUAGUUUAAAUUGGCAUAUUGGUUUAAACCAAACUGUAAAUCAUUUCAAACCGUACUUAACCAAAUUUAAACCCGAUUAAAACCCAAAAUUUUAUAUAAAACCAAAAAACCACCCGAUUUAGAACCAGGCCCAAUUAAAUUAUUAAACGAUGACCAACUAAUUUAAUUGUUCUAUCACAAACAAAUUCAUUAAUAUAACCAAAUUUGUGUUUAAAAAUUAAACAAAUCCAUUAAAUGAUUUUGUUUCUUCUUCCUCGUGCAGGGUAGAUAUGAUUUAAGGUUUGUUUUAAACCAAAUAUGAGUUUAGAUAUGAGUUUAGUUUCUUUGAAAAACCCAAAAAACCUAGACCAAACAUCAUGUCACUCUUGACUUGAGACUGAAACUAAACUCAUAUUUGGUUGAAAAACCCAUAAAUCCAUUUAUUGUUCAUCAUCUCUUUUGUUUGGAGUCAUAAAAAAAAUCUCUUUCGUUUGGAAAGCAACCAAAUAUCAAUUGCCAUUGUAAUAUUUUAAUUGUUAUUGUGUGAAGAGUCUAUAGCAGAUAAAGCUUGAAACUUUUUUCAGAAACAAAACAUCUUCGCCAAUUAAAAAAAAGGUCUAGACUAUACACGUCUAUUGAUCAAAAACAGAAAAAAAAAAAACAGAGAUAUGAAUUGUUUCAUUUAUAAGCACUGUUCAUCAUAUUAUUUUCGUUUGGAAAGCAACCAAUUCGUGUUACUUUUCAUCGUCACUUUCGAAUACUGUUCAUUGUUGAGUCAUGAAUAUUGUUUUAACACAAAGAAAGGGUUUUAGGGUUCUUAGUAAUUUCAAAUAAAUUGUUUUGGCGAUUUUAGUUUUGUGGGAUUUACUAAAAAUGUAUUUUUGGGUUGGGUUUUAUAUCUGGUCAGGUUUUAUUUUAUCUAGGGUAAGAUUUGGUUCUGUUUGGUUUACUAUUCUGAAUUUAAGAUUUUUAAUUAGGUUUGACAAAACCGACAUAUUUGGGGAAAUAAAGUCACAAUUUUAUAUUCGGAGAUAAAUAGAACGGAGUCAUAAUUUGGAAGACAUAUAAUGCUAUUUGAUAGUUAUUGUGGAGAAAGUUUGAUUGACGAGUUAUUGUGGAAGACAAAGUUUGAUUGACGAGUUAUUGUGGAAAAAUAACUCGUCCACCCUAAUAGAAAUUGCAAUACUUGCAUGUUAACCAAUAAAAGAUAGAGGAUGAUUGGUAGCUGCUCUAGGUUCUGUAGACAGCUACAAAUAUUUCACAGCCAUAAAAAUUUGUCAAUCAAACUUUGCUUUAUUUUUUUAAAACCUACAGCUGAAUUUCUUUUCUUUAUUUAUUUUUGCUGUAGACAACACUUUAUCAACAGUUUAGAAACGAAACUUUAGAAAAUUUUAAGAGUUCUGUGAGUUUUAUAACAUAUAAUUAAUGUUUAUUAAUUAGAUUUUCUUUUAAGAAAGCAAACCGAAAAUUCUACAGCCACAAUAAAAUUAUACAGCUUAAAUUCUAUAGUAAAAAAAUAAAAGCUACAGACUUAACCAAUCAAACCCAUAAGCUCUGAGGUUGUUUUUUCCACUUGUGUCAUCUUCUCUAGUGGAAAUGGAAACCAUAGUUGCCUAUUAUUACUUUUAAUUAUAUUUACUGAUUUACGGAAACUACAUGUUACUCAGUAUUUCUCUGUUUGAUUCAGAGUUGUAGAUCUUAAAAUGACUGGAUUUUAGUUAGAAAAAUUGUUUAGAAAGAAUCAAAAAAAUAGAGGUGGAGUUCACGUGAGGAUGCAGAAAACAAUGGGGACAUUCUUAGAAAAACAGGAGUAAACAUUAAAAAAAAAAUUCAAAAAAGAAAACAUUAGAAUUGUAUUUAUUGUAAAAAAUAUAUUAUAGAAAGGUGUAAUGUAAUUUAUAAAUAGAACAUCAGAUAUCUAGUACUGGUAUCACAUUAAGCGGAAAAAGGGGAAGAGAAGAAGAAAUAAAAAAGAAAGUCACGUGGACCCAACAUGAUAUGAGCCAGUGAGAGGCCUCGAACCACGUGACGUUCACACACGCUAGUGUCGAAUUGUCGGUUCACGCGCUGACAGAAGAAGUCAUGACAAUCAUACGAUACUGCUUGUUCGUCCCUAAAAACAGGAUAGUCCAUGACCAUUCCCCAUCAUGAGCCUCUCUUCUUCUUUUUUAAUCCUAUUUCGUGUUUUGCCCAUUUAAUAAUAGUACUGCGUAAUGACUAAAGCAUGGCCUCCGUUAAUGGGGAAAACGGCUUAUUCAUGCCCGAACUAGGGAUUGUUGAGAAAAUACAUACCUCAACUUUUACUGCAAGUCAAAACAUACCUACACUAAUCAACAAUUUAAAAUUCAUGCCUGAAUUAUGGAUCGAUAAAAAAAUACAUACCCCAACUCUUAUUGCAUGCCAAAACAUACCUUAACUAAUCAAAAAUUUGAAAUUUAUGCCUAGUCUUUAGAAGUCAACGCCAAUUUCAAUCUAUACUAUUAUUUGCGAAGUAAAUUUUCGCAACGGAGCUCUCCCGUUAAAAAUUAGAGUAGCUAAAAUCUAUGUUACCCCUAAUAAAUUUUUAUAUAUAUUCUAUUAUAUAAUAAAAUGAAUUUUAUUUGCGAAGUAAUUUUUCGCAACAGAGCUCUCACGUUAAAAAUUAGAUUGACUAAAUUCUAUGUUACCCUUAAUGAAUUUUUAAAUAAAAUGAAUUUUAUUUUAAAAAUCUUAUAUAUUUUUUAAAAAUAAUUAUGAUGAUUCUUAUAUAUUAUGUUGUUAUCUUAAAAUAAUAUUUUACUAUUAUAAAAGUAAAAAAAUUAAAAGAAGUUAUUUUUUACAAUAUUAUAUUUAAAAAAAAAGAUAAUUCUUAUAUAUACAAAUAUAUCUUAAAAUCACUUCUUAGAAAAUAUCCUUAUACAAAUAUAUUGCUCCAUUAAUAUUUACUUAGAUAUUAUUUUAUCUUAAAUUUUAACUUUCAAAAUAGUAAAAUAUUAUUUCAAGAUAACAACACAAUAUAUAAGAAUUAUCAUAUAUUUUUAAGAAAAUAUAAUAUUGCAAAAAUCAUGUCUCUUAAUUUUUUUUACUUUUACAAUAGUAAACUAUUAUUUUAAGAUAACAACACAAUAUAUAAGAAUCAUCAUAAUUUUUUAAAAAUAUAUAAGAUUUUUAAUAUAAUUUUUUUAUUAUUAUAUAAUAGAAUAUAUAUAAAAAUUCAUUAAGGAUAACAUAAACUUUAGCCACUCUGUUUUUUAACGUGAGAGCUCCGUUGCUAUAAAAUUAUUUCAAAAAUAAUAGUAUAGAUUGAAAUUAGCGUUGACUUCUAAAGACUAGGCAUAAAUUUCAAAUUUUUGAUUAGUUAAGGUAUGUUUUGGCAUGCAAUAAGAGUUGGGAUAUGUAUUUUUUUAUCAACCCAUAGUUCAGGCAUGAAUUUUAAAUUUUUGAUUAGUGUAGGUAUGUUUCGACUUGCAGUAAAAGUUGAGGUAUGUAUUCUCUCAGCAACCCCUAGUUCGGGCAUGAAUAUGCCGUUUUCCCUCCGUUAAUGAUACAGGUUCGAUCCUACACAGUUCCACGUACACUUUCGGCUUGAUUGGAAACAAUUUUAUUGUGUUUUUUAACCAAAAAAGCUUUCAUAUUUUAAAAAUUGAGGUUUUUUUUCUUACCAAAAAAAAAAUUGAGGUUUUUUAUUUUUAUUAUAACAGCUGAGAAAAUGAAUUAAAAAAAACCGAACCCAUUAACCAAUUUACAAAAACCGAUCCAACUCUAACCCUAGUAAACGACAAACAACAGAACAAAAUAGAAGAUCAUUUGCCAAACAAGCUCACCGGAGGCAAACUGAAGAGAGGCUAUAUCGGCUAAACCGCCAAUUCUAGGAGCCGAGCCGAAACAGAGGAGUUGCUUUCGUUUGGAGACGAAAACCAAAGAAAAAGAGCAAAGGUGAGAAACCACCACUACCAUACACUACAAGAAAUAUGUAUAUUCUUAACGCGGAAAAUAUGUUAUAGUAGGUGUUUCAUAACGAAUUCAUAAAUGCUAUGUUAUCGGUAGCCAUUAUAGGUUCUCUAUGAUAACAUUUUUUUAAACGGCACGAAAUAUGUAGAUAUGAUAGUAAUAUUUGAAUGUUAUUAUUAAUUUAAUUAUAACACUACUUUUGUACUAUGAUAGGUCAUUCUACAAUAAAUAAUAAUAAUUCUAAUUUAAAAUAAAAUAAAAUAAUUGAAAUUUAAACCGGAAAUUGUUUUAUAAUUAAAAAUAAAAUAAAUAUUAUUUUAUAAAUUAAAAUUGGUUUACAAAUAAAUUUCGAUUUACAAAACUAAAUCAGAAAUUAAAAAUAAAGUCAAACCACCACAAUUCUAAGUCGAUUUACAC